rnacentral:snRNA from 1 species
GUGCUUGCUUUGAGAGCACAUAUACUAAAAUCGUAAUGAUACAGAGAAGAUUAGCAUGGUCCCUGCACAAGGAUAACACAGAAAUUAGUGAAGCAUUCCAUAUUUUU